rnacentral:tRNA from 1 species
AGACUUGGCUGGCCAAGCGGUUGGCGUUUGCGCUAAUGGCGCAGAAGGAUGACAGCAAAGUCCGGGCUGUACAGUUCCACCCGAACCUAUCCUAC